UUGAACGCUGGCGGCAGGCCUAACACAUGCAAGUCGAACGGUAACAGGAAGCAGCUUGCUGCUUUGCUGACGAGUGGCGGACGGGUGAGUAAUGUCUGGGAAACUGCCCGAUGGAGGGGGAUAACUACUGGAAACGGUAGCUAAUACCGCAUAACGUCGCAAGACCAAAGAGGGGGACCUUAGGGCCUCUUGCCAUCGGAUGUGCCCAGAUGGGAUUAGCUAGUAGGUGGGGUAACGGCUCACCUAGGCGACGAUCCCUAGCUGGUCUGAGAGGAUGACCAGCCACACUGGAACUGAGACACGGUCCAGACUCCUACGGGAGGCAGCAGUGGGGAAUAUUGCACAAUGGGCGCAAGCCUGAUGCAGCCAUGCCGCGUGUAUGAAGAAGGCCUUCGGGUUGUAAAGUACUUUCAGCGGGGAGGAAGGGAGUAAAGUUAAUACCUUUGCUCAUUGACGUUACCCGCAGAAGAAGCGCCGGCUAACUCCGUG
rnacentral:rRNA from 1 species